rnacentral:rRNA from 1 species
GAAUUUUCCGCAAUGGGCGAAAGCCUGACGCAGCAACGCCGCGUGGAGGAUGAAGGCCUUCGGGUCGUAAACUCCUGUCAGUGGGGACGAAUGCUUCGCAAGAAGUUUGACUGUACCCGCUGAGGAAGCCACGGCUAACUCCGUGCCAGCAGCCGCGGUAAUACGGAGGUGGCAAGCGUUGUUCGGAAUUACUGGGCGUAAAGGGCGCGUAGGCGGCUUGGCAAGUCAGAUGUGAAAUCCCCGGGCUUAACUCGGGAAUUGCAUCUGAAACUGCUUUGCUUGAGUCCUGGAGGGGAUAGUGGAAUUCCCAGUGUAGCGGUGAAAUGCGUAGAUAUUGGGAGGAACACCUGUGGCGAAGGCGGCUAUCUGGACAGUGACUGACGCUGAGGCGCGAAAGCUAGGGGAGCGAAUGGGAUUAGAUACCCCAGUAGUC